UAGCGCAGUAGUUAAAGUUUAAUGUUUGUUUUACACACAAAAGGUGAAGUAAGAUCUUAGAAUGCUUCCGGCGUUAU
rnacentral:tRNA from 1 species